rnacentral:rRNA from 1 species
GACGGAGGAUGCAAGCGUUAUCCGGAAUGAUUGGGCGUAAAGCGUCCGCAGGUGGCAGUUCAGGUCUGCUGUCAAAGACCGGGGCUUAACUUCGGAAAGGCAGUGGAAACUGAACAGCUAGAGUAUGGUAGGGGCAGAGGGAAUUCCUGGUGUAGCGGUGAAAUGCGUAGAGAUCAGGAAGAACAUCGGUGGCGAAGGCGCUCUGCUGGACCAUAACUGACACUCAGGGACGAAAGCUAGGGGAGCGAAUGGG